rnacentral:rRNA from 11 species
NNNNNNNNNNNNNNNNNNUGACGUGUGCGCUAGUCUUGGGGACUUAGCCAUGCAAGCCAGCGAAGCAGCGCGGAGCGGCGGACAGCUCAGUAGGACAGCGAUAAUCCACCCGCGGCACAGACAAGGAUAACCGCGGCAAGCUGCGGCUAAGACAUGGACAGGCUGCAGCGCGGGGAGGCGCGCGCAGCGGACAGGGCGCGGCCGCGGCGGAGUCGCUGGCCCAUCAGCUGGUAGGUAGGGUAAGGGCCUACCUAGGCGACGACGGGUGACGGGGGGUGAGAGCCCGGGACCGGAGAGGGAGCCUGAGAAACAGCUCCCACGUCCAAGGACGGCAGCAGGCGCGGAACUUGCCCAAUCCCAGCGGGGGAGGCAGCUACAAGACGUGGGGAGCCCCGGAACGCACGGCAAAGGAGUGCGGGGCGACUGGAGGGCAAGUCUGGUGCCAGCAGCCGCGGUAAUUCCAGCUCCAGGAGCGCACAUGAGUGUUGCUGCAGUUAAAACGUCCGUAGUCGGCCCGGGCGCGCCGAGAGGAAACCGCGGGGCCCAAGGCGGCGGGCAGCACGGGAGCGGGGGCGACAGGAACGGACAACGGCCGCGGGAUCCGGGGGCGAGAGGUGAAAAUCGGGGACCCCCCGGGGACGGGCGGAAGCGAAGGCGGCGGCCGGGGACGUGUCCGUUGAUCAAGGACGAAGGCCGGAGGAUCAAAGAUGAUUAGAUACCGUCGUAGUUCCGGCAGUAAACGAUGCCGACGGGGCGAGGCCAGCGGGCUGUGUCCGGGAGAAAUCGGAGUGUUUGGGCUCUGGGGAUAGUACAGUCGCAAGACAGAAACUUAAAGAAAUUGACGGAAGGACACCACAAGGAGUGGAGUGUGCGGCUUAAUUUGACUCAACGCGGGGCAGCUUACCAGGGCCGGAUGCGCGGGAGAUUGGCGGCGGCGCGCCCCCGAGAUUGCGCAGGGAGUGGUGCAUGGCCGUUUGCAACACGUGGGGUGACCUGUCUGGUUAAUUCCGACAACGCGUGAGGCCUGGUGCGCAGGCACUGUGCGACGGGCGGCGGCAAGCCGCAGGAGGGCAGGCGAUAACAGGUCAGUGAUGCCCUCAGAUGCUCUGGGCUGCACGCGCACUACAAUGGCGCGGCGAGCGGGCGUGCCGCGAGGCGCAGGCGAGGCCGUGCUGCAGCAGGGAUGGGCGCCUGGAAGGGUGCCCUGAACGAGGAAUUCCUAGUAGCCGCGGGUCACCAUGCCGCGGCGAAUGUGUCCCUGUUCUUUGUACACACCGCCCGUCACUACCUAAGAUGGAUGUGCAGGCGAGGCGGCUGGGCAGGCACCCGAGCCUGUGCAACUAGAUAAGGUAUNNNNNNNNNNNNNNNNNNNNNNNNNNNNNNNNNNNNNNNNNNNNN